rnacentral:tRNA from 2 species
GGAGGAUUGGCCGAGUGGUAAGGCACCGGUUUGCUCAACCGUGGUCGGGUCUACAGCCCGCGCACGUUCGAUCCGUGCAUCCUCCG